rnacentral:lncRNA from 1 species
UGCUAAUAAUAUUGUUUUCUGUUAUUUUUUAAUUAAUUAAAUAUACUCAUAAAUUCGGAAGCCACAUAUAAAACAAUAAUAUAAUUCCAAAGUUUUACUUCGACGGUGACACGACCCUAAUGUCUUUUCACUUGUCGCUGCAUGAACGACUAUGGCAUCAUCGCGUUGAUUCACUCCAUCACCCUCCUCCAAUAAAGCAUUGCGUUUUUUGUCGACACCACAGAUGGCAUCGUACGUUUCCAUGACCCAAAUUCGGGCGAAGAGGUCGAUUUCUUCGACCGUGUACGUAUGGCUCCCCUUUUCACCAGCCUUUUUCCCCUUCCCCUUCACCGACGUCAGUUGAGGCUCGUCCGAACCGACACCCUCUCCCUUUUCUUUGUUCAAAUUGAUUCCCUCGAGGUCUGGUUGGUAAUACGGCCUCGAGAGAUCGCCGCACUAAUUUGACAAGAAAAAAAUUGGAUUGUUGGGAUCCAUUUCAACGAAGCAAGAAUUUUUGGUAGAAGAAAGAAAUUAAGAAGAAGUUGUGAUGAAACUAUGAAGGAAUUGGAGGAUUAUAAAGAUGAAAUAGGGACCGGGGGGACCAAACUUACCGUUCUGGAACAACAGGAAAUUGUUGCUAAUUUUUUUCAAUUCCUUUUUUCACGCGCCUGAAUUUUCGACACUUGAGCCCAUCUUAAAAACAUCGUGCCUCGAGUCUUCUUCGCUUGCAUUAGCGGGUUUAUUGCCAAGGCCG